rnacentral:rRNA from 1 species
UACGUAGGGAGCAAGCGUUGUCCGGAAUCAUUGGGCGUAAAGCGCGCGUAGGCGGCCCGAUAAGUCCGCUGUAAAAGUCAACGGCUCAACUGUUGAAAGCCGGUGGAUACUGUCGGGCUAGAGUACGGAAGAGGCAAGUGGAAUUCUUGGUGUAGCGGUGGAAUGCGCAGAUAUCAGGAGGAACACCUAUAGCGAAGGCAGCUUGCUGGGACGUAACUGACGCUAAGGCGCGAAAGCGUGGGGAGCGAACAGG